rnacentral:ncRNA from 1 species
ACUGAAACUGUUCACAUGAACUUGGAAUUCCUAGUAAGUGUGAGUCAUUAACUCGCAUUGAUUACGUCCCUGCCCUUUGUGCACACCGCCCGUCGCUACUACCGAUUGAAUUAUUUAGUGAGGUCUCCGGACGUGAUCACUGUGACGCCUUGCGUGUUACGGUUGUUUCGCAAAAGUUGACCGAACUUGAUUAUUUAGAGGAAGUAAAAGUCGUAACAAGGUUUCCGUAGGUGAACCUGCGGAAGGAUCAUUA